GACGAACGCUGGCGGCGUGCCUAAUACAUGCAAGUAGAACGCAGUUGCGAACGGGUGAGUAACGCGUAGGUAACUGCCUCAUAGCGUGGGAUAACUAUUUGACACGCUAGCUAAUCCCCCCUUCUUUGAUCUGUACCUGCUUUGUAUUAGCUAUUUGGUGAGGUAAAGGCUCACCAAGGCGACGAUACAUAGCCGAGCUGAGAGGGGGAUCGGCCACACUGGGACUGAGACACGGCCCAGACGCCUACGGGAGGCAGCAGUAGGGAAUCUUCGGAAAUGGACGGAAGUCUGACCGAGCAACGCAGCGGGAGUGAAGAAGGUUUUCGGAUCGUAAAGCGCUGUUGUUAGAGAAGCGGGAACUAAAGAGAAAGGGACGGAUAACUACGUGCCAGCAGAAGCGGUAAUAG
rnacentral:rRNA from 1 species